UAGCUAAGUGAUGGGGUGACGCAGUGAGGUAGCUUGAGCCACUUAUUGGAUUGUGGUGUAAGCGUGUAGAACGUCAGGAUAGGUAAAUCCGCCUGGCAUGUGUUCGAGGCGUGAUGCAGAGCCCCUUUUGGGGUGAAUUCGGUGAUCCUGUACUGUCGAGAAAAGCCUCUAGCGAGUACAUAUUCGGCCCGUACCUAAACCGACACAGGUAGUCAGGUAGAGAAUACUAAGGCGUUCGGGUGAACUGUGGUUAAGGAACUCGGCAAAAUGCCCCCGUAACUUCGGGAGAAGGGGGGCCAUGACAGGUGACCGGUUUUACACCGUGAGCGUGUUGUGGUCGCAGAGAAUAGAGGGAAGCGACUGUUUAUUAAAAACACAGGUCCGUGCGAAGACGUUUAAGUUGAUGUAUACGGACUGACGCCUGCCGGUGCUGGAAGGUUAAGAGGGGAGCUUAGUCGCAAGGCGAAGGCUUGAAUCGAAGCCCCAGUAAACGGCGGCCGUAACUAUAACGGUCCUAAGGUAGCGAAAUUCCUUGUCGGGUAAGUUCCGACCUGCACGAAUGGCGUAACGAUGGCCACACUGUCUCCUCCCGAGACUCAGCGAAGUUGAAAUGUUUGUGAUGAUGCAAUCUCCCCGCGGAAAGACGGAA
rnacentral:rRNA from 1 species